CCUACGGGAGGCAGCAGUGAGGAAUAUUGGUCAAUGGGCGUAAGCCUGAACCAGCCAAGUCGCGUGAGGGAUGAAGGUUCUAUGGAUCGUAAACCUCUUUUAUAAGGGAAUAAAGUGCGGGACGUGUCCCGUUUUGUAUGUACCUUAUGAAUAAGGAUCGGCUAACUCCGUGCCAGCAGCCGCGGUAAUACGGAGGAUCCGAGCGUUAUCCGGAUUUAUUGGGUUUAAAGGGUGCGUAGGCGGCCUUUUAAGUCAGCGGUGAAAGUCUGUGGCUCAACCAUAGAAUUGCCGUUGAAACUGGGAGGCUUGAGUAUGUGUGAGGCAGGCGGAAUGCGUGGUGUAGCGGUGAAAGGCUUAGAUAUCACGCAGAACCCCGAUUGCGAAGGCAGCCUGCCAAGCCAUGACUGACGCUGAUGCACGAAAGCGUGGGGAGCAAACAGGAUUAGAUACCCUGGUAGUC
rnacentral:rRNA from 1 species